GCCUACCAUGCAAGUCGAGCGAGAUCUUCGGAUCUAGCGGCGGACGGGUGAGUAACGCGUGGGAACGUGCCCUUCUCUACGGAAUAGUCCCGGGAAACUGGGUUUAAUACCGUAUACGCCCUUCGGGGGAAAGAUUUAUCGGAGAAGGAUCGGCCCGCGUUGGAUUAGGUAGUUGGUGGGGUAAUGGCCUACCAAGCCGACGAUCCAUAGCUGGUUUGAGAGGAUGAUCAGCCACACUGGGACUGAGACACGGCCCAGACUCCUACGGGAGGCAGCAGUGGGGAAUCUUAGACAAUGGGCGCAAGCCUGAUCUAGCCAUGCCGCGUGAGUGACGAAGGCCCUAGGGUCGUAAAGCUCUUUCACCAGGGAUGAUAAUGACAGUACCUGGAGAAGAAACCCCGGCUAACUCCGUGCCAGCAGCCGCGGUAAUACGGAGGGGGUUAGCGUUGUUCGGAAUUACUGGGCGUAAAGCGCGCGUAGGCGGGCUGUUAAGUCGGGGGUGAAAUCCCGGGGCUCAACCCCGGAACUGCCCUCGAUACUGGCAGCCUAGAGUUCGAGAG
rnacentral:rRNA from 1 species